rnacentral:rRNA from 1 species
GGGCAUUGUGCGGCUACACAUGCAAGUCGAGCGGUAACAGGAGAUACAAGCUUGCUGAUCUCCGCUCGACGAGCGGCGGACGGGUGAGUAAUGUCUGGGAAACUGCCUGAUGGAGGGGGAUAACUACUGGAAACGGUAGCUAAUACCGCAUAACGUCUUCGGACCAAAGUGGGGGACCUUCGGGCCUCAUGCCAUCAGAUGUGCCCAGAUGGGAUUAGCUAGUAGGUGGGGUAACGGCUCACCUAGGCGACGAUCCCUAGCUGGUCUGAGAGGAUGACCAGCCACACUGGAACUGAGACACGGUCCAGACUCCUACGGGAGGCAGCAGUGGGGAAUAUUGCACAAUGGGCGCAAGCCUGAUGCAGCCAUGCCGCGUGUAUGAAGAAGGCCUUCGGGUUGUAAAGUACUUUCAGCGGGGAGGAAGGUGUUGUGGUUAAUAACCGCAGCAAUUGACGUUACCCGCAGAAGAAGCACCGGCUAACUCCGUGCCAGCACGGCCGGUAAUA